rnacentral:rRNA from 1 species
UACGUAGGGUGCGAGCGUUGUCCGGAAUUACUGGGCGUAAAGAGCUCGUAGGUGGUUUGUCGCGUUGUUCGUGAAAACUCACAGCUUAACUGUGGGCGUGCGGGCGAUACGGGCAGACUGGAGUACUGCAGGGGAGACUGGAAUUCCUGGUGUAGCAGUGAAAUGCGUAGAGAUCAUGAGGAAGACCAGUGGCGAAGGCGGGUCUCUGGACAGUUCCUGACACUGAGACACGAAGGCCAGGGGAGCAAACGGG